GAUUGGAGCGGCCGAUAUCAGAUUAUCUAGUUGGUGAGGUAAAGGCUCACCAAGGCGACUAUCCGUAUCUGGUCUGAGAGGACGACCAGCCACACUGGAACUGAGACACGGUCCAGACUCCUACGGGAGGCAGCAGUGGGGAAUUUUGGACAAUGGGGGCAACCCUGAUCCAGCCGUUCCGCGUGAGUGAAAAAGGCCUUCGGGUUGUAAAGCUCUUUCAGCAGGAACAAAAC
rnacentral:rRNA from 1 species